GACGAACGCUGGCGGCGUGCUUAACACAUGCAAGUCGAACGGAAAGGCCCUGCUUUUGUGGUGUGCUCGAGUGGCGAACGGGUGAGUAACACGUGAGUAACCUGCCCUUGACUUUGGUAUAACUUCAGGAAACUGGGGCUAAUACCGGAUAGGAGCUCCUGCUGCAUGGGGGGGGUUGGAAAGUUUCGGCGGUUGGGGAUGGACUCGCGGCUUAUCAGCUUGUUGGUGGGGGAGUGGCUUACCAAGGCUUUGGCGGGUAGCCGGCCGGAGUGGGUGACCGGCCACAUUGGGCCUGAGAUACGGCCCAGACUCGUAGGGGAGGAAGAAGUGGGGAUUAUUGCACAAUGGGCGGAAGCCUGAUGAGGGACCGCGGCGUGCGGGAUGAGGGCUUUGGGGUGUUAAACCGCUUUCGCAUGUAACGAAGCGUGAGUGACGGUAAUGGGUAAAGAAGCACCGGCUAACUACGUG
rnacentral:rRNA from 1 species